rnacentral:lncRNA from 1 species
GGACUUUUUCAUUUUCAUUUCUUUCAUAUUCUUUCAAAUUUACAAAAUAUUUGAAGUCUGCUCUCGGUGUCCUUUUUCAUGAAAAUGUGGAUAAACAAGAUAUAUAUCUCUGCAGACAGCUUUUACUUUAAUUCCCCUGCUACUGGUAAAUUUGAUUAGGAAAAAUAAAAGCGUUCAACAAAUAUUUUAAAAAUCUACCAGCUGAUUAAAUCACACUUUCUCUCUAUCUUGUUGGAAUAUGAGGUUGACUUGGGCAUCAUUUUAAAUCUUCUAGUUUAGAUUAUGAUCUUUAAAAUGACAUUAAGCUUGCUUUGAUGUUCCAUGUAAGUAUAGGACAAAAGCCUGAGAAUUAAAUGAUUGCUCACGUUGUAGCGUCAUAAUAGCAUAGCCUCAAAGUCCAACCAAAAGAUAGCAAAUGAAUCUAUUCCAGAAAUGUUUGUGCUCCUCCAAUGAAUCAUGUCACCAGUUCUGCCAGAAAGAAAGAAAAAGUGCUCAAAAUCUCAAAACACAUUUUUUGACAGGACUGAGAGCAGUAUCUGAAGUCUGCUUUACUUAACAUUUUCUGACACUGUUUUAACUGUCCUAUUCUUUGAGGUAUAUAUGUAUGUGGGAAGACCUUGGUGUCAGAAGCUGGAAUUCUGUCUUGUUUUUGAAAGGUUGUGCCAUUCUGGAGCUGAGUAGAGGCAAACUGCAGGAUAAACAUUCUGCAUGCUGGAGAAGGGAAGAGUGGAGAGCGAGGAAGAGAAGGAAAGAUCUUUUCACACUUCUUCUUCCCAGGAGAGUGGAAAUUGAUAAAAGAGAUGUACAUCCACAGAGAAUGAAAGGAUGCACAGAUGUAAACUUCCCCCUCUCCUCGAUUUCAGCUGUUGAUUCAAUGGAGCAACCCUAAUGCUAUCUUCAAGACUGCCCGAAUGUCCAACCCUCAAUCGGGGCAAAGAGUUGCCAUGGUUGCAGAGUGAAAAGCAAGGAAUCAAUGGGGGAAGGGCAAGGGAAUGGGUACAGGAGAAGUAAAUCCACGUGAAAAGCAAUAACAAUUAUCUGAGGUAAAGUGGCACUUCUGUGGAGUGUUUUGUCAAAACAGCAAAGACCAAAAUUUGCAGCAAAAAUUAUUUUUAAUAUUUUUCUUGAGUUCCCUUAUUAAUAAUGCUGCCAUUCUGUCUGCUGCUAUAAUUAAUAGCGUUUGCAGUAUUUCCAUUCAGAAAUGCUCUCUCUUUUAACUCCUGGCUGAGGACAGCUGAAUAUAGAUGACAAGAAUAGAAAUGAAGAAAUGACAUUAAUGAAGAUUCAAAAUGCAUGGUUGAAUGGCAGAGGCUUAUCUUCAAAAUCACAAGAAAUCGAGGAACAUCUACAAGAAUGAACAGUCCAAGCACAACUACCUUGCUUGUUUAUACAAAAUAUUAUAAUAAAUGUGUAUGCAAAUACA